rnacentral:rRNA from 1 species
UACGUAGGGCGCAAGCGUUGUCCGGAAUUAUUGGGCGUAAAGAGCUCGUAGGCGGCCUGUUACGUCUGCUGUGAAAUCCCGGGGCUUAACCCCGGGCGUGCAGUGGAUACGGGCAGGCUGGAGGCAGGCAGGGGAGAACGGAAUUCCCGGUGUAGCGGUGAAAUGCGCAGAUAUCAGGAGGAACACCGAUGGCGAAGGCAGUGGGCUGGGCCGGCACUGACGCUGAGGAGCGAAAGCGUGGGGAGCGAACAGG